rnacentral:rRNA from 2 species
AGGUGUGAUCAUUCCAACACUAAUGCAACUGAUCCCAUCAGAACUCCUCAGGUAAGUGUGCUUGGGCGAGAGUACUACUAGGAUGGGUGACCUCCUGGGAAAUCCUCGUGUUGCACCUC